GGGAGCGAGACGACGCUGCCGCCGUGGGAGAGCGGGGACGCGGGGCGCGCUGCCGGGAGGGGGUGAGGUUUGGGCCGGUUGUGCCGUUGCGAGGCUGCAGCCGCGGUCGCUGUGGUGGGCCUAGAAUUGUAUCCCAACUUUGUAAAUUGGAGAAGCCAGCAGCAUUGCCGCUGUUUCUUUGAGGUAGUGUCUGCUUGGGAUCCAGUGCAAGUCGAAUCAUUGUUCAAAUAAGGUGUAAUUGAAAAGUGACUGACCCUUUCUUCAGAGAUGUCAAAAACAAACAAAUCAAAGUCUGGAUCUCGUUCUUCUCGCUCAAGAUCUGCAUCAAGAUCUCGUUCUCGUUCAUUUUCGAAGUCUCGAUCCCGAAGUCGAUCUAUCUCUCGUUCAAGGAAGCGCAGGCUGAGUUCUAGGUCUCGUUCCAGAUCAUAUUCUCCAGCUCAUAACAGAGAGAGGAAUCAUCCAAGAGUAUAUCAGAAUCGGGAUUUCCGAGGUCACAACAGAGGCUAUAGAAGGCCCUAUUACUUCCGUGGGCGCAACAGAGGCUUUUAUCCAUGGGGCCAGUAUAACCGAGGAGGCUAUGGAAACUACCGCUCAAAUUGGCAGAAUUAUCGACAAGCAUACAGUCCUCGUCGGGGCCGUUCCCGAUCCCGGUCCCCAAAGAGAAGAUCGCCUUCGCCACGGUCCAGGAGCCAUUCUAGAAACUCUGAUAAGUCUUCCUCUGACAGGUCAAGGCGUUCCUCAUCCUCUCGUUCUUCCUCCAACCACAGCCGAGUUGAAUCUUCUAAGCGCAAGUCUGCAAAGGAGAAAAAGUCCUCUUCCAAGGAUAGCCGGCCAUCUCAGGCUGCUGGGGAUAACCAGGGAGAAGAGGCCAAGGAGCAGACGUUCUCCGGAGGCUCCUCUCAAGAUACAAAAGCAUCUGAGAGCUCGAAACCCUGGGCAGAUGCUACCACCUACAGCACUGGCUCUGCAUCACGGGCAUCGGCAGUGUCUGAGCUGAGUCCCCGGGAGCGGAGCCCUGCUCUGAAAAGCCCCCUGCAGUCUGUGGUGGUGAGACGGCGAUCUCCCCGUCCUAGUCCUGUGCCAAAACCUAGCCCUCCACUUUCCAGCACAUCCCAGAUGGGCUCAGGUCUGCAGAGUGGUUCUGGGUACCAGGCUGGGACACACCAAGGUCAAUUUGACCACGGCUCUGGGUCCUUGAGUCCAUCCAAGAAGAGCCCUGUGGGUAAGAGUCCACCAGCCUCUGGCUCCACAUACGGCUCAUCUCAGAAGGAGGAGGCUGCUGCAUCAGGAGGAGCAGCCUAUACAAAGAGGCAAGUGUCCGGUGUCCCCUGCCUGGUUGUGUUUUUGUCUUACCAGCUGGCAGUUUGGUUGUAACACAGUCUAAAUUGGAGCUGUGAUUAACGGUAAAAAGGUAAUUCCUAUUUCCUAAACUUUUCAUUAUAGCAAACUUUAAAAGCGUCACCCAAGGAAAUCUUAACUCUAGCUUUCCUACCUUCCUGAAUUUGUAUUGCAGCAUAAAGUUUCUUUAGACUACUCUGCAAUGAUGUUUUCACAUUUAAAAUAUGCCUUGGAUUCUACCAAUGUAAGCCAGAGAACAGUAGAGAGUUGUGGGUCAGCUAUCAAAAAAAUACGGUCUUUGCCAAAAUGAAUGGCCGCUGGAGUUGUUAGACCCCCUAAGACCCACCACCUGCUGUGAUUGAUCUACAUCAGCCCAUCAGGGUGAAGAGCUGCACCCUCAACCCUCCAGUUGAGGAGACUGGGCAGAAUGGCAAAGUCCAAGGCUUAGUCCAGAAAGGCCUUGUUUUAAAAUCACAAGGUGGGUGUAUGUCCCAGUAGGAGCCAGCUGCGCUGCGCGUUAGGAGAGGAUGUAAGAGUGCUUCUAUCUUUGUACCCUGGGUGGCACGGUGAGUUGGAACCCGAAUCUUUGUGUGGUUGGUUGUAUGGUUUGGGGUGGCAGAGACGUAACGGGCGUUGCACUGAGACCAGGUUGUCACGAGGGAAUUACUGGGCAAGGGUUUUUUUUUUCUUUCUUUCUUUCUUUUUUUUUUUUUCUUUUCUUUUCUCUUGUUAGCAUAUUCUUUGAUGUCCUUCUGUCCUUUGAUUCUGUUGUGCCAUAUUUCUUCACUAACGGUACAGAGGAGAUAUUCAGAAUCUGUACUUUUCAGCUUUCAGUAAGUCUACUUGAAAAUGUAAGUUUUGUUUCUUGCCAGAACUGUGGAUGUCGUUAGAAGGCUUGGGCAUGAGCUCUCCUUUUCCAUAAGAAAGAGUAGGAUGACUUUUGCUCCUCCCCUCAAUUAACAUGUAUUUUGUUUCUAUUUGUGUUUGCAGUAUAUUUCAUAUCUAGAUCUUCUAGGUGACUUGAAGCAAAUUUGAAGUCUCUUUUGAGACUUGUAUUUCCAAGUGUGAGUUGUAUAAAAGCAAAACAGUCCAAGGUUGAACAUUCUAUGUUAAGUUUGCUGAAAGCAGAUUGUAAGUGACUGAGUGAAGGUUGGAUAAGACCUUAAUUUUUUUUUUCCUAGACCACUUACAGGUAAGUAGGUUUUGCUUUUUAGUAUCCUAAAAGUUACCUUUGUUAUUUUCUUUAUGGUUUUUUAAAUAAGACAACUCUGUGGAGCAAAUAUUUUCCCCUAAAUUUAAUAGAAAGUGACCAAGUAGAAAGUCCUUUUGGUAACACAGUAAUCCACAAGGCAUCUUUUAGUUCAGAAAUUCAAAAACUCAAGUCCACGUGGUGAUGUUUAGAUCAAGUUGCUUAAGAAAUCUCUUGUGUGUCUCUCUCAUGUUUUUGUAACUAGGUAUCUAGAUGAGCAGAAGACAGAGAAUGGAAAAGAUAAGGAACAGAAACAAACAAAUACUGAUAAAGAGAAAAUGAAAGAGAAAGGGAGCUUCUCUGACACAGGCAUGAGUGAUUCGAAAAUAAAAUCUGAUAUGUUUGCUUCCAAAACUGAUUCUGAGAAGCCUUUUCGGGGCAGCCAGUCUCCCAAAAGGUAUAAGCUCCGAGAUGACUUUGAGAAGAAGAUGGCUGACUUCCACAAGGAGGACCUGGAUGAUCAAGAUAAGGACAAAGCUAAAGGAAGGAAAGAAUCUGAGUUUGAUGAUGAACCCAAAUUUAUGUCGAAAGUCAUAGCAGGCACAAACAAAAACCAGGAGGAGGAGAAGUCAGGCAAAUGGGAGGGCCUCGUGUAUGCGCCCCCCGGCAAGGAAAAGCAGCGGAAAACCGAGGAGCUGGAGGAGGAGUCUUUCUCAGAGAGAUCCAAAAAGGAGGAUCGGGGAGGGCUCAAGAGAACCGAAAGUGGGCACAGGGGGUUUGUGCCUGAAAAGAACUUCCGAGUGACUGCUUACAAGGCAGUCCAGGAGAAAAGCUCGUCACCUCCCACAAGAAAGACCUCUGAGAGCCGAGAGAAGCUAGGAGCCAAAGGAGACUUUUCUUCAGGGAAGUCUUCCUUUUCCAUUACUCGAGAGGCCCAAGUCAAUGUCCGGAUGGACUCUUUUGACGAGGACCUUGCAAGACCCAGUGGCUUAUUGGCCCAGGAACGUAAGCUUUGUCGGGAUCUAGUUCAUAGCAACAAAAAGGAACAGGAAUUUCGUUCCAUUUUCCAGCACAUACAGUCAGCUCAGUCUCAGCGGAGCCCCUCGGAACUGUUUGCCCAGCACAUAGUGACCAUUGUUCACCACGUUAAAGAGCAUCACUUUGGGUCCUCAGGAAUGACAUUGCAUGAACGCUUUACUAAAUACCUAAAGAGAGGAUCUGAGCAGGAGGCAGCUAAGAACAAGAAAAGCCCAGAGAUACACAGGAGGAUAGACAUUUCCCCCAGUACAUUCAGAAAACAUGGUUUGGCUCAUGAUGAAAUGAAAAGUCCCCGGGAACCCGGCUACAAGGAUGGGCAUAAUUCUAAAAAUGAACUACAAAGGGUUAAUUUUUAUUAAAUGUAUCAACAACCUUUGUGAAGUGGUUAGAAUAUGGUAAAUGACCCCAAAGUCUAUUGAGGUGAGAUUGAGAAAAAAAAGAGAGGAGUUUUGGAACAAGUGCCCAUGAUGAGAGAAGAAACUUUUUGUGAUAUUUUUCUGCUUGCUGAAGGAAAAUACAAAGAUGAUCCUGUUGAUCUCCGCCUUGAUAUUGAACGUCGUAAAAAACAUAAGGAGAGAGAUCUUAAACGAGGCAAAUCAAGAGAAUCAGUGGAUUCCCGAGACUCAAGCCACUCAAGGGAAAGAUCAGCUGAGAAAACCGAGAAAACCCAUAAAGGAUCAAAGAAGCAGAAGAAGCACCGUAGAGCACGAGACCGGUCCAGGUCGUCAUCCUCUUCCUCCCAUUCAUCCCACUCCUACAAAGCAGAGGAGUACACUGAAGAGACAGAGGAAAGAGAGGAAAGCACCACCGGUUUUGACAAAUCAAGACUGGGGACCAAAGACUUUGUGGGUCCAAGUGAACGAGGAGGCAGAGCUCGAGGGACCUUUCAGUUUCGAGCCAGAGGGAGAGGCUGGGGCAGAGGCAGCUACGCUGGUAACAACAACAACAACAGCAACAACGAUUUUCAAAAGAGAAGCCGAGAGGAGGAGUGGGACCCUGAGUACACACCCAAAAGCAAGAAGUACUACCUGCACGAUGACCGGGAAGGCGAAGGCAGUGAGAAGUGGGUGAGCCGGGGCCGGGGCAGAGGAGCCUUUCCCCGGGGUCGGGGCAGGUUCAUGUUCCGGAAGUCCAGCACCAGCCCCAAAUGGGCCCACGACAAGUUCAGUGGGGAAGAAGGCGAGAUUGAAGACGACGAAAGUGGAACAGAGAACCGAGAAGAGAAGGACAAUUUACAGCCCACCACCGAGUAGGGGCCGCUCUGACAAGAGCCCCUGGCCAGGGGAGAGAGGCACUGGGAAGAUGGCUGGUGAAGAGCUAAACAGAAGAGCCCCAAGAAGAUUCUGAAAAUCCCACCCCACCCCCCACCAGCCAUGCAGAAUCCUACUAUAGCCGAAAGCAUUCCUGGUGCAGUGUCCCACUGGACAGAGGCCGCUGACCCUGGAACCGGGGUCAGGCCCAGCUCUUGAACAGAACACAACGCGUUGGGCUUUAGCUGUGUCUCAUUUGUUGUUGGUGUAUGGGGUGGGGGCUGGGGUAGGGAGGGGAGAACGAUACUUGGAUUUUGGUUUGUUCCCUAUUAGAAACCAGUUUUGUUCUUAAUUUCAUUUCAUUUGGAGCUAAGAGGACUAAUUUGAUGAUUUUCAAUCUCUUCUCCCUUUCCCUGGUUUUUAAAGACCUUCUUUUUUUAGAUAUAUGUAGUAAUAUUAGCAGAAAGAUUUAAUUUGGGCAAUUUUGAUUCUUAAAAGAGGAGACAAAGCAUGUGAAUAAACAUUGAAAUGUUCACCUCAGUUUGGGACCAAACUGCUUGGAUCUUUGUAAAAACCGGUUUUGUAUGUCGAGGAGGAGUUCAAGGCCUUUCUGACCACCUUGUGUCCCCUUUUCUGCACAGCCAUGUGUCACAUGGUAUUGCUCCUGACCACACCCCAUGUGCCCCUCCCCCCAGUGUUUUCUGAUUUCUUCUGGGCCGAGCUUCCCAUUCUCUACCAGCAGCACCAGUAUCCCAACUUUCUAGUCCUGCUGAUCUCUCAGCAACAGCGGUGGAAACUGGGUUGGCGGUUUCUGGUCUGUUUUCUAAGAAACUUAUGAAUUCUAUUAUCUUUACAAAUAUAAGAUGAGAAAAUAAUUUUUUCAAUAUUUUUUAUUAAUCUUUUUAUAAAAUGAAAAGAAACUCCUAUGAUUGGUUAAGGAAGGUGGUUAUGCCUGAGUGGUUUGUGGGGUUUUCUUUCUUUUUUUUUUUUUUUUUUUCUUUUCAUUCUUUUUAACCUUAAGUUUUAAGUUGAAACAUUCUCAGAUGUUUGGGGGGAAAACAUCCUCUUAAAAUGGGUCCUUGUGCUUGCCUUCUGGGGAGGCGGUCCUGAGCAGGUGAAUCAUAGGCACUUAUGCAUAUGGUAUAUGCGGACUGCACCCACCUCUUCCCCCCACCUUUGCCUCCUGGGUUGUUGUGCUUUUUCCUUACUUUGCUACAUUUCUAUAGUUAAGUUGGUUUUACUUGAAUGACUCAUGUUGAGGGGAAAAAAUGCAAAUACCCUUAAAGAUUUGUUUCAACUCCUCCUGAAAAUAAAAAUAAAUAAAUGAAGUGGCAGAUGUAAA